GGGGUUCUUUUUUGGUAGCUGAGGUAGGAAUGAAUGCUGUCCUGGAGGAAGGUAAUGCCAAGAACUCUUUUGCUUGAUCCUUAAGGCUAUGAGCUGUUGCUUUAGAUGACCUUGGGAAUUUGUUCACAUGGGUCAGAUUUGCCCCUUCUGAGGACUGCUGUCAGCCAGCAUGAAUGACAAUCUAGGACCUCUGCCUGAGAAAUACAUGGAGAUGCUCUCAGUGUGGGGGCCACAUGGAGGCUGGGUAGCAGGGAGCCUGCAAGCUCUGGGGCUGUGCAGGAGAAUGGCAUGGCUUGCAGCAGUGCCACCAUGCACAUCACGGGAAGAAUUACGGUGGAUUUUCGCAUAUAUCUAUAACAUCUGUGUGGCUAAUAAAAUUGACGGAGUUUGUCAUAAUCAGCCUGUACUCUCCAGUAGGAGAAUUAUGUCUGAGCAUUUGGAAAUCUCAUGCCCAGGCAGUUACUGAGGGAAUAUGCUGUGAAGAUUGAGCUGUUUCUGCUCGGCGAUGGGUACUGCAUCAAAGUGCAGUGCUUCUGCUGCAGCAGAGCUCUCGGAAUCAGAGUGCUCUUAGCUCUUAGAUGGGACGUGAGUAUUACCUAAAACUCCAUAUGUUUGUGUGGGUGCCCACUGACAAACAUACAUUUGCAUGCAUGCAGUUGCACUAAGGUGAAAUAUUUUUCAGGUUUCAAAGAGGGAAAAGGGCUUGAGGGAGCUGGGGGGGGACAAAGUGAACAGGGCAAAGUGGCAUCAGAUCUCUUAGUCCUGGAAUGGCAGGAAAGUGAGAAAUCAACACAUUUGGUGAAGUUGCUGCUUUGUAGGAAAUCGCACAGCAGCAUUUUGUAAUUAUUUAAUGUGGCACACAGUGAUUUUUUUUUUUUUUUCUGUUGGUUGGUAAAAUCCGCGCUGUGUUACUGGAUCUUACAUAAUCAGCUGAUAGCUGUCAGGUUCCCUGGGAAGUAAAGUGGACAAGUAGUGCUGCAAAGACAAAUCUCAAUCACAUUCGUUUUAUAAGCAGAGAUAGUUGAGGUUUUCCUUGUGACAGAUUGAAAAACAGCACUCAAGAGGGG
rnacentral:lncRNA from 1 species